rnacentral:rRNA from 1 species
AUUGAACGCUGGCGGCAGGCCUAACACAUGCAAGUCGAACGGUAGAGCGAAGCUUGCUUCUCUUGAGAGCGGGGGACGGGUGAGUAAUGCCUAGGAAUAUCCCUGGCUGUGGGGGAUAACGGUCUGACGCGGACGCUCAUACCCCAUAAGUCCAACGGGAGAAAGCAGGGGAGCUUCGGACCUUGCGCUCUCAGAUGAGCCUAGGUCGGAUUAGCUAGUUGGUGGGGUAAUGGCUCACCAAGGCGACGAUCCGUAGCUGGUCUGAGAGGAUGAGCAGUCACACUGGAACUGAGACACGGUCCAGACUCCUACGGGAGGCAGCAGUGGGGAAUAUUGGACAAUGGGCGAAAGCCUGAUCCAGCCAUGCCGCGUGUGUGAAGAAGGUCUUCGGGUUGUAAAGCACUUUAAGUGGGGAGGAAGGGCAGUAAAUUAAUACUUUGCUGUUUUGACGGUACCGACAGAAUAAGCACCGGCUAACUCCGUG